rnacentral:rRNA from 1 species
UACGGAGGGUGCAAGCGUUAUCCGGAUUCACUGGGUUUAAAGGGUGCGUAGGCGGGCAGGUAAGUCAGUGGUGAAAUCCCGGAGCUUAACUUCGGAACUGCCAUUGAUACUAUCUGUCUUGAAUAUCGUGGAGGUGAGCGGAAUAUGUCAUGUAGCGGUGAAAUGUUUAGAUAUGACAUAGAACACCCAUUGCGAAGGCAGCUCACUACGCGAAUAUUGACGCUGAGGCACGAAAGCGUGAGGAUCAAACAGG